rnacentral:tRNA from 1 species
UGCCAAGUCGUCUAAUGGUAGGACUGCUGCCUUUGGAGCAGUAUAUUUAGGUUCGAAUCCUAACUUGGCAG